CUAUUGUUCUUUGGGAAUGAUUUGCAUCAACACCAACAUGCGCAGGCCGCUUCUUAAGUUGAAGUGGAAUUCAGGAGGGCUUUGCAGAUUCAAGUGGGGUGACAAAGGCUAUCCCCUCACCGAGUAUCUCCUUACUCCAUUGGCAAACCCUGCAACUGACCAGGAGCGCAGGUACAACAGUGCGCACAUACGCACACGGGCCACAGUGGAACGCUGCAUCGGGCUGCUUAAGGGCAGAUGGCUGUGUCUGGGAGCAGCAGGGGGGACCCUGCUGUACACACCUGAAAAGGUGUGUGACAUCAUUCUGGCAUGUGGGAUUCUUCACAAUAUUGCACAAAAUCACCACGUGCCAUUUGAGGCCCCAGCGCAGCCAGAUGAGCCCAUGCCCAGAGAGCCCUGUCCGGCACAGCCCCACCUGAGAGCUAUAAGGAGGAGACAGGACAUCAUUCAGCGCUUCUAAAAUGUCAAGACUUCUGUAGUCAGGAUCCAGGGUCGUGGUGGUGGACCAGCGCGGGGGGUGGUGGACCCGGGCGCUCUCUCACAGCUGGUGGUCUGGCUCUGUGCAGCUGGAUCCAGGCCGCUUUGUGCGUCAGAGGGCCCAGCACUGGUACCUGGCUCUACAUCUGAGAAAACUGAAAGUGUUAUUUUGUAAAAUUCUACAUCUCAAUGAGCUAUCCUAAUAAA